rnacentral:rRNA from 1 species
CAGUGAAAUUGAACUCGCUGUGAAGAUGCAGUGUACCCGCGGCAAGACGGAAAGACCCCGUGAACCUUUACUAUAGCUUGACACUGAACAUUGAGCCUUGAUGUGUAGGAUAGGUGGGAGGCUUUGAAGCGUGGACGCCAGUCUGCGUGGAGCCGACCUUGAAAUACCACCCUUUAAUGUUUGAUGUUCUAACGUGGACCCGUAAUCCGGGUUGCGGACAGUGUCUGGUGGGUAGUUUGACUGGGGCGGUCUCCUCCUAAAGAGUAACGGAGGAGCACGAAGGUUGGCUAAUCCUGGUCGGACAUCAGGAGGUUAGUGCAAUGGCAUAAGCCAGCUUGACUGCGAGCGUGACGGCGCGAGCAGGUGCGAAAGCAGGUCAUAGUGAUCCGGUGGUUCUGAAUGGAAGGGCCAUCGCUCAACGGAUAAAAGGUACUCCGGGGAUAACAGGCUGAUACCGCCCAAGAGUUCAUAUCGACGGCGGUGUUUGGCACCUCGAUGUCGGCUCAUCACAUCCUGGGGCUGAAGUAGGUCCCAAGGGUAUGGCUGUUCGCCAUUUAAAGUGGUACGCGAGCUGGGUUUAGAACGUCGUGAGACAGUUCGGUCC